rnacentral:misc_RNA from 1 species
GAUGAAGAACGCAGCGAAAUGCGAUAAGUAAUGUGAAUUGCAGAAUUCAGUGAAUCAUCGAAUCUUUGAACGCACCUUGCACCCUUUGGCAUUCCGAAGGGUAUGCUCGUUUGAGUGUCAUUGUACUCUCACACUCCCAAUUGCUUUGGAUUGGGAGCGGUGGACUUGGGUGUUGCUGCUUGACUGAGGCUCACCUGAAAUAUGUUAGUGCAACUCUUGGUUGACCAUAGUACGGCGUGAUAAGUGUCUUCGCCGGCACCUCACUGGGUGGGCCGAUCGGGAGCUCUGUGCUUCAAACCGUCUUCGGACAACAACUGACAACUUGACCUCAAAUCGAGUAGGACCACCCGCUGAACUUAAGCAUAUCAAUAAGCGGAGGA